rnacentral:rRNA from 1 species
GGACCCGCACAAGCAGUGGAGCAUGUGGUUUAAUUCGACGCAACGCGAAGAACCUUACCAGCGUUUGACAUGGAAAGUGCCGGUUACAGAAUGGUAACCUUCAGUUCGGCUGGCUUUCGCACAGGUGCUGCAUGGCUGUCGUCAGCUCGUGUCGUGAGAUGUUGGGUUAAGUCCCGCAACGAGCGCAACCCUUAUCGUUAGUUACUAACAGUUCGGCUGAGGACUCUAGCGAAACUGCCGGUGAUAAGCCGGAGGAAGGUGGGGAUGACGUCAAGUCCUCAUGGCCCUUACACGCUGGGCUACACACGUGCUACAAUGGUAACUACAACGGGACGCAAUACCGCGAGGUGGAGCUAAUCCCCAAAAGUUAUCUCAGUUCGGAUUGCACUCUGCAACUCGAGUGCAUGAAGUUGGAAUUGCUAGUAAUCG